rnacentral:rRNA from 1 species
UACGAAGGGGGCUAGCGUUGCUCGGAAUUACUGGGCGUAAAGGGCGCGUAGGCGGAUAGUUUAGUCAGAGGUGAAAGCCCAGGGCUCAACCCUGGAAUUGCCUUUGAUACUGGCUAUCUUGAGUUCGGGAGAGGUGAGUGGAACUCCGAGUGUAGAGGUGAAAUUCGUAGAUAUUCGCAAGAACACCAGUGGCGAAGGCGGCUCACUGGCCCGGAUACUGACGUGAGGCACGAAAGCGUGGGGAGCAAA